UGAUCAGUGGCGAACGGGUGAGUAACACGUGAGUAACCUGCCCCAGACUCUGGGAUAACCCCGGGAAACCGGAGCUAAUACCGGAUAUGACACCAAUCCGCAUGGGUAUGGUGUGGAAAGUUUUUCGGUCUGGGAUGGACUCGCGGCCUAUCAGCUUGUUGGUGAGGUAGUGGCUCACCAAGGCGACGACGGGUAGCCGGCCUGAGAGGGCGACCGGCCACACUGGGACUGAGACACGGCCCAGACUCCUACGGGAGGCAGCAGUGGGGAAUAUUGCACAAUGGGCGCAAGCCUGAUGCAGCGACGCCGCGUGAGGGAUGACGGCCUUCGGGUUGUAAACCUCUUUCAGCAGGGAAGAAGCGAAAGUGACGGUACCUGCAGAAGAAGCACCGGCUAACUACGUGCCAGCAGCCGCGGUAAUACGUAGGGUGCGAGCGUUGUCCGGAAUUAUUGGGCGUAAAGAGCUUGUAGGUGGUUUGUCGCGUCUGCUGUGAAAAUCCGAGGCUCAACCUCGGACUUGCAGUGGGUACGGGCAGACUAGAGUGUGGUAGGGGAGACUGGAAUUCCUGGUGUAGCGGUGGAAUGCGCAGAUAUCAGGAGGAACACCGAUGGCGAAGGCAGGUCUCUGGGCCAUUACUGAC
rnacentral:rRNA from 1 species